AGCGAACGCUGGCGGCAGGCCUAACACAUGCAAGUCGAACGAACUCUUCGGAGUUAGUGGCGGACGGGUGAGUAACACGUGGGAACGUGCCUUUUGGUUCGGAAUAACUCAGGGAAACUUGUGCUAAUACCGAAUGUGCCCUUCGGGGGAAAGAUUUAUCGCCAUUAGAGCGGCCCGCGUCUGAUUAGCUAGUUGGUGAGGUAACGGCUCACCAAGGCGACGAUCAGUAGCUGGUCUGAGAGGAUGACCAGCCACACUGGGACUGAGACACGGCCCAGAAUCCUACGGGAGGCAGCAGUGGGGAAUCUUGCGAAAUGGGGGAAAGCCUGAAGCAGCCAUGCCGCGUGAAUGAUGAAGGUCUUAGGAUUGUAAAAUUCUUUAACCGGGGACGAUAAUGACGGUACCCGGAGAAGAAGCCCCGGCUAACUUCGUG
rnacentral:rRNA from 1 species